UACGGAGGGUGCAAGCGUUGCUCGGAAUUAUUGGGCGUAAAGGGGAGGUAGGUGGUCUCAUUUGUCUGGGGUGAAAGCCUUGAGCUUAACUCAAGAAGUGCCCCGGAAACGGUGAGACUAGAGUACUGGAGAGGCGAGCGGAAUUCCCGGUGUAGCGGUGAAAUGCGUAGAGAUCGGGAGGAACACCAGAGGCGAAGGCGGCUCGCUGGACAGUCACUGACACUCAACUCCGAAAGCGUGGGGAGCAAACAGG
rnacentral:rRNA from 1 species